rnacentral:rRNA from 1 species
UGGGGAAUAUUGCACAAUGGGCGCAAGCCUGAUGCAGCCAUGCCGCGUGUGUGAAGAAGGCCUUCGGGUUGUAAAGCACUUUCAGCGAGGAGGAAGGUGGUGAACUUAAUACGUUCAUCAAUUGACGUUACUCGCAGAAGAAGCACCGGCUAACUCCGUGCCAGCAGCCGCGGUAAUACGGAGGGUGCAAGCGUUAAUCGGAAUUACUGGGCGUAAAGCGCACGCAGGCGGUUUGUUAAGUCAGAUGUGAAAUCCCCGGGCUCAACCUGGGAACUGCAUUUGAAACUGGCAAGCUAGAGUCUCGUAGAGGGGGGUAGAAUUCCAGGUGUAGCGGUGAAAUGCGUAGAGAUCUGGAGGAAUACCGGUGGCGAAGGCGGCCCCCUGGACGAAGACUGACGCUCAGGUGCGAAAGCGUGGGGAGUAAACAGGAUUAGAUACCCUGGUAGUCCACGCUGUAAACGAUGUCGAUUUUGGAGGUUGUGCCCUUGAGGCGUGGCUUCCGGAGCUAACGCGUUAAA